CACAAUUUAUUUCAAAAUUCUAUCUCAUAGAAUUUUUUUUAUGCACUCUUAUGUGUUUUUUCAUGAACAAACUAACCAAAUUUAGGCAUUUUUCAACGACUCAUAGCUCAAAAAAUAGCACGGUAACCCAUACUUUUUGUUAUAUUUUUGAAAAAAGCGUAGUAAGAUCUUCAUUUUGGCAAAUUAUAAAAAAAAUCUGUCUCAAAAAACAUUUACUUAUGAUCUACCUUAAAU
rnacentral:lncRNA from 1 species